AGCUCCAAUAGCGUAUAUUAAAGUUGUUGCAGUUAAAAAGCUCGUAGUUGGAUUUCGGGAUGGCUCGGCCGGUCUGCCGCAAGGUAUGUUACUGGCCGCGCUGUUCUUCCUCGCAAAGACUGUGUGUGCUCUUAACUGAGUGUGCAUAGGAUCUGCGACGUUUACUUUGAAAAAAUUAGAGUGUUCAAAGCAAGCCAGCGCUUGAAUACAUAAGCAUGGAAUAAUGGAAUAGGACUUUGGUUCUAUUUUGUUGGUUUCUGGAACCGAAGUAAUGAUUAAGAGAGACAGUUGGGGGCAUUCGUAUUUCGUUGUCAGAGGUGAAAUUCUUGGAUUUACGAAAGACGAACUACUGCGAAAGCAUUUGCCAAGGAUGUUU
rnacentral:rRNA from 1 species